UACGUAGGGGGCAAGCGUUGUCCGGAAUUAUUGGGCGUAAAGAGCGUGUAGGCGGCUUUACAGGUCCGUUGUGAAAACUCGAGGCUCAACCUCGAGACGCCGGUGGAAACCGUAAGGCUAGAGUCCGGAAGAGGAGAGUGGAAUUCCUGGUGUAGCGGUGAAAUGCGCAGAUAUCAGGAAGAACACCCGUGGCGAAGGCGGCUCUCUGGGACGGUACUGACGCUGAGACGCGAAAGCGUGGGGAGCGAACAGG
rnacentral:rRNA from 1 species